rnacentral:lncRNA from 1 species
CUUCUUCAUUCAUUUCUGUUUUGAUUGAAAUAAUAGGCAACAAUUUAGAGUCUCUGAUUUGCUUAUACUAUAGUGAUUUCAGUGCUGUACGUUGCCGAUAAUAAUUGGAAUUGAUAAUUUUUUGCAUCUGUCUCCUUAGGCUUAUGCGUUAUGUCUUUCCUACAACGUAAAAAUUUUAUUUAGUACAUUAUGAUUUAUUAUUGCUUAUAUGUAUUGAGAAAAAAGAAAUUGUUAUCAAAUUCAUGAAAAAAGAAAAGACAUUUUGAUCUGUACAAUUGAUUAACGUAGAUGGCCAUAUUCAUCUCUUCGACCAAAAAAAAAACCAAACUUAAUCAUGUGUUCAUUCCAAACAAGCAUCACCACACUUUAUUCUUCUCUUCUAACCAUAUUAUGUUCACAAACCUAGAUUUUUUUUAAAUAAUUAAAUAAAUCAAUAUCAAAUCAUUUAAAACUUCAGACUUGCAUUACAAAAACCCAAACAUCAACGGAAUAUGUGGAUUGAAGUAACUUUUGAAGAGUGAAAAGAGAAGGGUUGAUUCUAAGUGGAAGGGAGCACAAAUUGCAAAAAUUGAAGUGCUGUAUCUCAAAUCAUUGUUAAAUGUUUCUUUCUCCGCAAGUAAUUCUAAGUUGCCAGCCAGUUCUGUCAUUAGGGAAUUUUCUAUCCUAAAGGCUUUCAAUGUUUCAAUCCACCCUCCAAAGUUGCUUAUAGUGAUGGAAGUCGUCUGGAGUCCCCCAGUUUCGGGAUGGAUUAAAGGUAACUGCGAUGGAGCUUUUGCUGUAGGGAAGGCAGUAUGUGGAGCAAAUUUUAGAAACUCUAAGGGUUAAUUCAUGGGAUGCUUUGCAGAAGGUCUGAACAAUGGUAGUGGUUCAAGCUUUCAAGUCUCAAGACAUUAUUCCUUGGCAGCUAAGAAAAAAAAUGUAGUAACUGUCUUAAUAUGACUUCAAGCAUGAAUUUCAUAGUUUUUCACAUCUCUUUAGGGAGGGCAAUGCUUGUGCAGAUGCUCUUGCUAAUAUAGGCUUAACUCUAGAUACUUAUGUGUAUUAUUACUCUUCACCUAUAUAAGUAAGGAGUGAUUAUCUUAAAAAUAGGCUAGGUAGAGCUACUUUUUGGUUUAAUCACUCUUGAGAAGGUUUAAGUGUUAUCCCCCUUCUUUGGUUAAUAUACUAGGGAUAAUAUCUCCUUGCUACUCCUUGUUUUUUAAAAAAAAAUUGCAAAAAUUAAAGUAGAGAAGGUUGAGAGGGUAAAUGGUUUAGAUUGGUCGGUUGGAGAAACAAGUAUGUGAAGCAAAAAUUGAAAAUGAAAAUGAUUUAUACACUCAGUGUGCCACAUAAGCAUACUUGCACUUCUUUACAUUGUUAUUAUCAAAAUAUCAUACGUGGAGUAUUAUGAGUGAACCAAAUUGGUUUUUACAUACACGGGGGCGCGCGCGCACAGUCUCUCUCUCUAAAUUUGUGUUACUACUCUCUCCGUCUCAAAUUGUAUGUCGUUUACAAUAUUAAUAAAACAUUAAUGUUAUUUUUCCUAUCAUAUCCUUAAUUAUUUAUUACUCUCUCUUCUUUUAAUUCUUUCAUUUAUCUAUCACAUAUCAUUUAGUAAGGAUAAUUUUGUAAAACAACUCAUAAUAUCACUUUCCAACACAAAAUGUCAUACAAUUUGGGACGGAGGGAGUAUGAUUUUUUUUAACAGGUACUAAUAUAUGUUCUUUGUGUAUAACAUGCCAUUCUUAUGAUAAAUGUAUCAGUAGAAUAAUUGAUUACUUUACAUCAUCAUAUUGAGUUUAGUUAUAAAUGUAUUUUUUUUAAAUGACAAAAUAUAUUGAACCUACAAUAGUCUAUAGCACAAGAAAAACUAAGCCCGGUUCAUAGAGUCAUAUAUAAAUCUAAUAAAAAGAAGGAUACUCACAAAAAUAAAUAAAUAGUUAAUACAUGCAAGUUGUUGUAAUAUAUUAUUAUAUUUUUUUUAUAUUGAUGACAUAGUUUUCCAUAUCUUAUAUCAGAGAACAAAUCAUUUGAGGUUGUUAAAAAAAUAAUAUGUAGGAGAAUUAUAAUUUGAAGUGUGAGAAAAACUGAUAAGUGUUAUAAUAUUAUAACAUAAGUAUAAAAUUACCGGCUUAAAAGUAACAUAAUAACUAAUUUUGAACUUAUUUGGUAAAGAUAUUCUAACAGGCAGUAAGGUUGAAAAAAUAAUAUGAUAUGCCUGAAUUGAAGGACAAUGUGAUAUCUCCAAAUUUAAGACAGAGGAAGACAAUCUAAAUAAUAAUAUUUUAUUUUUAAUUUAGUUUCAUUUUUCAUCUUAGACUACAAUGUAUAAUUACGUGGUCCGUGAAUACAAUAAAAUAACUAAAUAAAAACUCAUUGAAUUUUAUAGUAGAAUCUUAAGGGCACAUCUGUCACGUACAUGUACAAUAGUUCUGUCUAUUGUACAUCAAAAAAUAUGCCUCCACACACGUUGGUUUCCAAGGAAACGUGCAUAUAUAUUCUGGACAAUCAGAAUCUUGUUUACAUUUGCGACCUGUUGUAAUGAAAAAAAAGAGUAGAAGAGUGUUAUUAAAAUGAGAUAAAAUAUUAUGUAGGAGGUAAUUAAGGAAAUUUAAAACAUUCAAAAAUGGAUUACCUUCAACGUUCAUUGAAACUAAAAAUACGGAAAUAAAAUUAACCAUAACAUAAAUAAAUUUGAUAAUUUCAACCAUAUUUUCUUCCAUGUGCAUGUAAGAAAUAAAAUAUGAUUUUAUCAAUUUAUAAUCUAUAUAUAGCUUAUCUUCUCCUUACAUACAUUAAAUAGAUUUUAGUGCUAAUGGAGUUGUAAGAAAAUGUCUCCUGGAUACAUCAAAGUGUCGUGUUUUUCCUUUAACAUACUUAUUAAACUUUCCCUCAUUCUUAAAAUUAGAAUCAUUAUUAAAUGUCUUUAAAAUAUAUAACAACAUUGUAUCUGUCCCUUUCACAUACUAGGUAAAGAGGUCACAUGAAAAACUUAACAUUCAUAAGAAUUAAUUUUUAUUUUUUCCAAGUUUCAAUUAUUUUUCAUCCUUUCACUUGACGGAAAAGGGAAAAUUACAAAAGAGGUAUAAUAUUGUUGGAUUUCAAGUGACUCGUAGUUUAUAGUAGAGCUAUAACUAUUGCAUAAGUUAGAUUUCAAAGUCACAAAUAAUUGAUGAAGGUAGUAUGCAAAGUUUAUGAUUGACUCAGAUUGAUGGAAAUGCAUGCAGUAGCAACCCAAAUUUCUAAACCCUAUAAUGAUUAUACCUAGGGGCGGAGCCAACUUGUAUCCUGGGGAUGCAGCUGAACCCCCUCACCCCUUUAAUUUAUUACCAAUUACCAAGUGUUUUUCUAUCAUGAACCUCCUAGAAAAUAAGAUUUGCACCAUCUCUCCUGUGACCGUAAAAGUUGCACACAUAUUACAUCAUGUUGUUCAAUAAGAUAGCGUACACCUAUUGACUCUUUCAAUUUAAGGCUAACAUUAAUCUUUUCUAUUGACUCUUUACUUUAACGUGUUACUAGUUUACUUGCUUUUAAGUUGUUAUUAGUUUACUACUUCUGCACAUCCUAAAACUUAGUAUUUUAAAAUGACUAGAUCACUACAUCAAACUAAGAACAAGAUAUAUAUUGUACAACAUUCCUAUAUUUUUAUUUUUUUUUACUAUUUCUAUUCCUUAUAUUAUUUUUUAAAUUCUUUUUUACUUUUUCUAGAGACUAUUUCCUGUCUAAUAUUAGUGAUAUUUCUGUUAUAUUAUGGAUGUGCAUAUCAGUGUUAAAUUUGUAUCUUUGAAAAAAUAAAAUGAUCUUUAAAAAAAGAAUUAAUUGAAACUAAAAGACGUAUUGUUUAUCCAUUCUACUGUGAAAUUUUUGAAAACUAGAUUAAGUAUGUAAUCAAAAGGAAGAUGAAUUGACGAACGAUUGUCUCGUGACAUAUUGAAAGAGAUAUAUUCGACAACAUUGAUAAAGAGUUUAUUACUCAACAAAUCCAUAACAUGAAAUUGGGUAGAGGACAAUUGUAAUGUAUGUUUGCAAUUUUUUAAGUACAAUAUAAUUUUUUAAUAAAUAUAAUUUUGUAUAUAUUAUUAUAAUUAUUAAUUAAAGUUUUAAAUUUUGAACCCCCUACCCCAGAGUCCUGACAACGCCACUGAUUAUACCACGUGCAAUGUUUACAUCGUCACUAACCACAAAGAGGAUGAGAGAGGAAGCACAUCCAAUCAAACACAAAUCUUAUUGUUUCCUUUUAGUAAACCAUGGAUGAAAUUGCCUUAUAUAUCAUAUCAAUGUUAUAACUACAAUUUAUUCAUUUGUUCUUACGUACUAUGAUUAACUAGUAAACUAAAAUUUAUUUAUUUUGUCACUAUAAGCCUUUUAGUAAACCAUGAUGAUGUACCAAUUGCAUGUAACGUUUAAGAUAUGUGUUACAUAAGCAUAACUCAAUUGAUAGAGACAUUGUAUAAUUUAUGCAGGGGUUGGGGUUCGAACUCCGGACAUCCCAUUUCUUACAUUUAAAUGUGUGAGCUCUAACCACUAGGCUACUAGACAAAAAAAAAAAAAAAUAUGUGUUUAAAAUCAUUAAUUAGGUUUAACAAAGGAAUAUGUCAUGUGUACUAUAAGAUUUGUGCAAGUUAAAAGUUUGUAAGACAGAUAUAGAUAAUUUUUUAUAACAAAUUUAAAAUUAUGUAAUUGUUGUCAAAAGGCGAAAAAGAAGUUUUAGGUGACAAUUCUACUUUAAAAAUUUACUUUUUGUUUUUUUAAUUUUUUUUAUAAGGACGCUACUUUUUUUAACAAAUAAACAUAAUAAUUAUAUGGCAUUGAGGCAUGAUAAUUAAGAAUAUAAUAUUCCUUUUCUGAGUGUUAACCCUCUUGUUCGCAAUUUAAUUUUGCAUCUAAUAAAUUUUUGAAUAAAAGUUGCUAGAAAAAAUUUGAAAAAUAAUUUUCCUUUUCUAAGUGUUAACCCUCUUGUUCGUAAUGUAUUUUGGAGUUUGACCGAGAGAUAAAUAAAGUCUAACAAAAAGUUAUUUCACCCAUAUAUCAAAU